CACGUAGGGCGCAAGCGUUGUCCGGAAUUAUUGGGCGUAAAGAGCUCGUAGGUGGUUUGUUACGUCUGCUGUGAAAUCCUAGGGCUUAACCCUGGGCUUGCAGUGGAUACGGGCAGACUAGAGGUAGGUAGGGGAGAAUGGAAUUCCUGGUGUAGCGGUGAAAUGCGCAGAUAUCAGGAGGAACACCGGUGGCGAAGGCGGUUCUCUGGGCCUUACCUGACACUGAGGAGCGAAAGCGUGGGGGAGCGAACAGG
rnacentral:rRNA from 1 species